rnacentral:rRNA from 1 species
UACGUAGGGUGCAAGCGUUAAUCGGAAUUACUGGGCGUAAAGCGUGCGCAGGCGGUUCGCUAAGACAGAUGUGAAAUCCCCGGGCUUAACCUGGGAAUUGCAUUUGUGACUGCACGGCUAGAGUGUGUCAGAGGGGGGUAGAAUUCCACGUGUAGCAGUGAAAUGCGUAGAUAUGUGGAGGAAUACCGAUGGCGAAGGCAGCCCCCUGGGAUAACACUGACGCUCAUGCACGAAAGCGUGGGGAGCAAACAGG